AUCCAUUGUGUAGUGAUUCAGAAUUUCCCAUGAAAUGUACAAUGGUUUCCAGUAGCGGUUUACUACUUAAAAAAUUACCAUUAAUACUUACAAGUAAAAGUGUUUAAAUGCAAUUCGGGCACUGCAUUCCAGUUAGGCCUUGGCGAUCACCAACCAACACAUCUUUUUCUAGAAAAUGCUUCGCACAAAUUCGAAAUUUUUUGUGUAUUUCAUAAUGAGGCACGUUCUUUAGUACAGGGUUAUUUAUAAGAGACUGCCAUUUCAAAAACAUUUGAGGGCUUUUCUCAGGGUUUGAGAAGCAAAACUGCCUACUCUACUUGACAUCACAAUUUGGGACGGCACACUUCUUUCCCGACCGGGUUUUUUCACCAAAGAACACUUCAGACAUAUUUAAUAUUAAUUUUUGUUUCACGAAACAAUAAAAAGAGAAAACAAAAUUCACUAAAAACAUAUACAUUUUUAAAUCCAAAAACUCGCACGACGCACAACAAACGCAACUCGAAGAACCGCUUCGUUUAGUCAAUUUUGAAAUUUUUAUUUUGUAUCUGCCUUCGACCGGGUGGCGCCACCUUGUAUUAAAAUCCGUUAAAAUAUCGACCGCAGCGCCUAGAAACUCGCGUAAACACUGACUAUGUCUUUCUUUGUCUAACUUACUACCAGUAGCUUCCAUUCCACUUAUUUUUCUAGAAGCGGAUAUUUUGUGGGGACCAUUAGAAAUGUUUUAGUGCAUUCUAAAACGGAUUUAGAUUACUAAUUAAUUGUGAAGAAAAUUAGUGUUGCAUGGUGUUAUGUAUAAUAAAAAGACAAUAUGAUCCUGGUUGUGUAGAUGACGAAGUUGAACGAGCUGUACUUACUUUGCAAGAUACUUUAGAUGCUACCACUAGUGACACUAAGGUCAAUUGUUAUGAUCUUGGCCUCGAAACGAACGUUUACUUAACAGCAGAAAACAUUUUAGGAUAUUCAAAAGAGAAAGAAAAAUGAAAUUGACUUUAAACGUGAAGAAGAACUUUAACAGACAGUACUAUUUAUCCUUAUGCAAAAAGAUGUUCCUUUUCACCCUAGGAUCAUGAGAGUGGCAGUGACAGAAGACCGCACUGUUAUCAGCUUGAGGGCUUUAAAAGACAAACCCCAAAAUUUUUUUUCUUAAAUAAAUUUUAAUAUUGAGUAUCAAGCACUGCCUCAAAGAACAAAUCCGCAUCUCAAUAAUAAUGAAUACGAACAACUUCAUAUUCAAAAGAUAUUUGAUUUAAUCACCUUUAGCAGCUAAGCCAGUGAUACCUGCAGACUGUUGCUUGUUUUAUAGCAAUUUAAUUUUUCAACAACUUUCUCUGUGUUUUUAGAACUAAUUUCUUUGUAGAAGAACACAUUAGUUUAGUUUUGUAAAUUUUUAUUGUCUUGUAUUUAAAAUACAUGCCAAAUACUAAAUA